CCUCCAACCAAUCAGAGCGAGUGAGAUGUUUGUCUGUGUGAAAAUCACGUGAUCGCCCUUGUUCGGGGGCGCAAAAUCUCUGCGACUGAAGGUCGGCUGCUUUCGGAAGGGUAUUAAUUGAGAAUAAUUUGCAGACCAGGAUCCCAAUGCAAGUUCUCCAUUUUGCAGAGUGAUCAGGAUCUGAGUAUCAUUGACACUUAAAUGCGAAAGGGAAGAGGUUUAACCAUUCUAUCCAUGGGAGAAUAUUCCUGGUAAGGUUGUAACUUGAAAGCAGAAUAUUCAAAUUUUUGGUUUGAUCACCCCUGGGAUAAGUGUUGAGUUCUAUACCCUGCAGCUGAGAAAGGAGAUAUUGGCCUGAGAGGGGCAGUUUUGUCCAAACAACACCUCGUCUCCUUGAAAGAACUGUCAUAUUUAGUCCCAAUCGCCCACUUCAUGAUUUUAAUCUAUAUAUUCUUCAUUCUUGAAUAUCUGCAAACUUCCUUUUAAAAUUCCAUAUGGGCACAAAUUCCAGCACCCCUUCAAGUGGAAUCUUCCAGAUCCUGACAACUCUAUUGAUCCUGAAACUGCUGAAGUCUGUGUUGAGUCCUGAGGGUUAUAAAUUACUGCAUUUAACGUGAAGAUGCUGUUCCCUGAGCUCCCAUUGAGCUGAAUUGAAACAGUAUGGGAGGCUGAGAUCAGAGUGGGUGUGAGCAGACAAUGAAAAUGAAAAGGCUGCACUGAGAGUGUUGCUUGGCUAAAUGAGAGUGCUUUGGAGUUGGGUGAAACAGAAAGAAAGUGAAACUGAAAGAUUGAGUGUGAUGCUCAGUCUCAGUUUGGGCAGUUCAGAAAGUCUCACCGUCCUAACGGAAACAGUCAAUUGAUAAUUGAUACUGUAAAGAAUUUUCUUACAGUUUUUAAAGUAUAUAUUAGCUUAUAUAAAGUUAGCGACUUUUGAUUUUCUAAUAGUAAUGUUUGAAAUGAAGGGGAAGGACCUAGCUUCAUUAAAUUCUCUUUAAGGCAGAAACUGGCUUAAUCUGGAGAGAAGUCACAACAGAAGACCUCAGGUCUGUGGUGUCCUUGUCUAGCACAACAGAACAUAGACCCUUGAUGUUGUGUCGACCUGGGAAAUCAAACUGAAGCCCAUUUAACCCACACUAUUCCAUUAUCAUCCAUAUGUUUAUCCAAUGACCACUUAAAUGCCCUUAAACUUGGCGAGUCUACUACUGUUACAGGCAGGGCAUUUCACGCCCUUACUACUCUGAGUAAAGAACCUACCUCUGACAUCUGUCCUACAACUAUCACCCCUCAAUUUAAAGCUAUGGCCCCUCGUGCUAGCCACCUCCAUCCGAGGAAGAAGGAUCUCAGUGUCCGCCCUAUCUACUCCUCAUAUCAGCUUGUUUGUCUCUAUUAGGUCACCUCUUAACCUUCUUCUAACGAAAACAGCCUCAAGUCCCUCAACUUUUCCUCAAAAGACCUUCCCUCAAUACCAGGGAACAUCCAGGUAAAUCUCAUGUGCACCCUUUCCAAUGCUUCCACGUCCUUCCUGUAAUGUGGCGACCAGAGCCCCAAGUGUGGUCGCACCAGCGUUGUGUACAGCUGCAACAUGACUUCAUGGCUCUGAAACUCAAUCCCUCUACCAAUAAAACCUCACACACCAUCCACCUUCUUAACAACCCUACCAACCUGGGUGGAAACUUUCAGGGAUCUGUGCACACGGAUCCUGAGAUCUCUUUGCUCAUCCACACUACCAAGAAUCUUACCAUUAGCCCAGUACUCUGUAUUCCUGUCACUCCUUCCAAAGUGAAUCACCUCACACUUUUCCGCGUUAAACUCCGGGAUAUUACCAGUGUCCCUAUUGGCUAUUUGUGCAGGAAGUGUAUCCGUCUGCAGCUACUGGUUAGCUGUUUUUCAGAGCUGGAGCUGUGGGUGCAGUCAGUAUGGAGCAUUCAUGAUACUGAGAAGGUUGUGGUAGCAUUCUCAACAGAUUGGUCACAAGCAGGUGAAGAUUACACAGACAGCAAGGGAAUGGGUGGCCAUCAGACAAGUAAAAGGCUCAGAAAUGAAGUGCUCGAGUCCCUCGUGGUCAUCAUCCUCAAACAAAUAUACUGUUUUUGGUACUGUUUGGUCGAGGGCUGGUGGUGGUGGGGUGGCCAAUCGUGAAGCAGCAUCAGUCAAGUUCAUGGCACUUGGAGUGACUCUGCUGCAGAGAAGGGGAGGAAAAUGAUGAAUAUGACUGUAGAGACAGGGGAUUCAAUAGUAAGGGGCACAGAGAGACAUGAAUCCAGGAUGGUAUGUUGCCUCCCUGGUGCCAGGAUCAGCGAUGACAUGGAGCAGCUUCAGGACAUUCUGGAGUGGGAGGGUGAACAUCCGAUUGUACCAGUGACAUAGGAGGACCUGAAAGCUGAAGAUAGGAAGAUAAGAGAUACAUUAAAAUACAAGAUCUCAAAUGUAGUAUUGUCAAGCUUACACCCAUUGCCACAUUGUGGUAGGGAGGAGUUUUGUGUUGUGUUCAGUUGUACAAGCGACCUUUAUUCAGAGCUCUGUUACCGCAUGUGUGGGAGAGGCCAGAGUCCACUCCAAACCUGGCUUUCACGUGAGGCCUAAUUCCCCUCUUAAAUACAGCUCAGAUUGGAAGAGUGGGCAAUGACACUCAAACUUUCCCUGGCUGAUUGUAAUAUUUUUAUUCCUUUUGCUAGAUGUUGUUUACAUGCAAUAUUGUUGUCAUUGUUAGCCACACACCCCAAAUCAAUAUAUCCAAUCCAGUAAGCAAACAAUCAUGGACAAUACUAUGUUCAGCCUUAAACCCUCCCAUAAUCUCCUGAGGUUAGCUAGAAAAUGACUUCAUCUGUCUUUGACCUUACAAUGCUUUUGACAGUUAUAUUCCUCCUCAGACAUUUGCCAGCUGCACCAUGUUUUUUGCCAAAAACCAAAAUAGUAGCUUAUCACUGAGAACUUUUCCAAAUUCUCUACUAACUGUAGUGUGGAUUGUUAGAAAUUGUGAUAAAGUCUUUUAAACUCAACUCUGAUAUAAAGUAACUACAAUUUUGUAAUACAGUUGAAAAUUGUGGAAAAAUCCCUCUCUCACUUCAGCUUAAGAGACCAAACAAACAGUGUUUCUGACUUGCUGUUGCAGUUUACAACCCCAACGAUUUGCAUGCUGCAAAUGAUUUUUAAAUUGAAGUUUCAUUUUCUACUCUAAGUGCUUUCCAUUAUUACUUUCUUGUUUUAAUAAAAAGCAUCUAUUCAAAUUCCACUGAGGAUGAAAUUCAGUCACUUUAGAGCUUUACCAAGCCAUUAAACAAAACUUGUUUAGAUUUCACAAAUAACUAAGGCACUAAUCAUGUCUUCACUUCGGAUUUUGCAAUCUAUCUUUGUCACUCUUCCAUUGAUCUUUGCAUGUAAGAAUUUAUUCAAAUUAUCCAUAUCUACAUUUCAAUUGUUUUAUCUCUCUGCAGCCCUGACUUCUCUCUUUAUAACCUUUCUUUGCCCCUUCCUAUGUUGUUGGUCUUUUAGAGGUUGUGUUUACACCAUUUAUUGCUUUGCCUUCCAUAAUGAUGCAGUGAGCUGCUUUUAUUGCUGACAAACAUUCGCUCAAGGAAUUCAGCUAACCAUUUCAUGUUAAUUGGUUGUUUGCAUUUCUGGUUACAAUUACCUAAACAGUUCAGAAUGCUGUAGGAUCAGACUUUUGCUUCUACUUUUUAAUUAAGUAACAAACUUGUGAUUGUGGCUGGACCAGGCCUUUAAAAACUGCCUCUUAUUAAAAUGCUUAUGUGUUUUGAACUGCCUGUUUACAGAAACCCAAGUAAAUUCCCUAAUGUUCCUUCUUAACAGGACUCUUUUAUGACCCCCACAGGACCUUUCGUGAUCUAAUCCAGUAACAGUGUGAGCUGCUACAAUGCACGUGCUUGUGAAAGCGAGAAUAAGAGGACAGAUGAGAUGAGUGCAUGGCUGGAGAUAUAACUUAAAGCGUUUAGAUUCCUGAGGCUUUGAGACUGUUUGUUUCUGGGGAAGGUGGGACAUGCACAAGCUUGAACAAUUGUCCUGGGCAGAGCUGGGACAGAUAUUCUUGUUGAUGUUUUUGCUAGUUCCACUGGUGAGGAUUUAAACUCGGAUGACAAGGGAAUGGGAACCAAAGUAUAGCUUCAGUAGUAAGAGACUCAGAUCAGCAAAUGGGACGUGAAAUUAGUUCAUGAUGUUGUCGGUGGCUGAAAGAUUAAAAGAAAGAAGGAUUAAUCAAGAUCAAAACUCUCUCAUCAUGCAUCAGACCUGAGAUCCCAGGAAUUGGUCUGGUGAACCUUCUUUACGAUCAUUCAGUAGCCAGGGCAUCCUUCCUUUGGAAAGGAGAACAAAGGUGCACACGAUUCCAGGUGUGGUCUCACCAAGGCCCUUAUAGAAAGAUAUCCCUCUUCCUGUACUCGAAUCCUCUCACAAUGAAGGGCAAAAUAUCAUUUGCAUUCUUCACUACUUGCUGCUGCCUGUUUCCUAAAAGAGAAUAGGAGAGAAACACGGAACUAAAUGGGGUCAGACACCGGGGUAACAUUGUUGAACACACUGUCCCCAUUGUAUCAGUGCUGGUCAUCAAGCACCUAUUUAAGCUAGGCCCGUUUUCUGGCACUCGGUGUGUAACCUAUAUUAUGGUGCAAUGGAUGAUCAUCUCAACACUUCUUCAAGAUUGCAAUGGUUCCUGCAUCUAUCACCAUUUCAGAUGCUGCCAGAUCUGCUGUGGAUCUCCAUCUUUUUCUGUUUUUAUUUCAGAUUUCAGGUAUUUUGCUGUGUAUUCUCAGCCCUUCAGAAGCAUCAGAGGGUAUGGGGAGAAAACAGGAAUUGGAUUCAUUUUCUGAUGUAUAAAAUGCCUGCCCUUCAUGUCUGUCCAAACUCUAUCUCUUUUUUUUGUAGUUUUGGGCAAACGCUGACUGUUUCCCUUCCCUGAAGGACAUUAAAUGAACCAGUUCAGUUUUACUGAUAAUCCAGCAGUGCCCCUCGGUGUUGGAUCCACAAUUGACCAGAUUAAUUUCAGAGUUUCACAAUCUUUGUGUGUAUUCUUCUGGUUUCUCUCUCUCUACUUUUCUGUUUGAAAUUUUGAUUGCAUUCAGAGAAAUCAAACAAAACCACAACCAGAUCUGACACUCAAUCUGUUUGUCAUAACCUAAUUAUCUCAGGAUUUUGAACAUUGAAGGAAGAAGCACUGUUCACCAGGGAGAAAUGCGUAUUGUCUGUGUGUCAAAGAGUCUGUGAAGAUUCAUCUGAAAUGUCCAAACACCAGCGCAGUCACACUGGGGAGAGACUGUGGAAAUGUGGGGAUUGUGGGAAAGGAUUUAUUUACCCAUCACACCAGAGAGAAAUCAUUCACCUGUUCUGUGUGUGGGAAAGGAUUCACUCAGUCAUCCUCUCUGCUGGAACACCAGCAAGUUCACACUGGGAAAAGACCAUUCAUCUGUUCUGAAUGUGGGAAAGGAUUCACUCGCAAUUCCAAACUAUUGGUACAUCAGCGAGUUCACACUGGAGAGAAACCUUUCACCUGUUCUGAGUGUGGGAAGGGAUUUACUCACUCAUCCAACCUGCUGACACAUCAGCGACUUCAUACUGGAGAGAGACCAUUCAGCUGUUCGGAGUGUGGAAAAGCAUUCACUCAGACAGUUCACCUGCUGACACAUCAGUGAAUUCACACUGGAGAGAAACCGUUCACAUGUUCCGAAUGUGGGAAGGGAUUUGCUCACUCAACCAACCUGCUGAGACACCAGCGAGUUCACUCUGGGGCCAGACCAUUCACUUGUUCUAUGUGUGGAAAGGGAUUCACUCAAUCAUGCAAACUGUUAACACACCAGCAAGUUCACCACAACCACAUUUGAAGGAUUUUGCUUUUAAAUCAAGGAUUGAACUUGGAUCUUUGGGCUGUUUGUACUGGUGUCAUUAGUCCCUGCUCAAAACUUGAUCUUCUCUUGGGAAAUAAGGUAGGGCAGGUGACUGAGAGGUCAGUGGGAGAAAUAUUUUGGGGCCUAUGAUCAUUGUUGUAUUAGUUUUAAAAUAGUUAUGGAGAAGGAUAGACUUGGUCUAAAAGUUAAAGUUUUCAAUGGGACUAAGGCCAAUUUUGACACUAUUAUGCCCCUUAAAAGCACAGUAAGACCGCCUAUGUAUGGGAAUGCACAAGAUGGAUGACAUGCAAAACAAGUAUUUUACAUCGGUAUUUACUGUGGAAAAGAAUAUGAAAGCUAGAGAACUUAGAAAUGAAUGUGUAUCUUGAAAAGUUCCAUAUUAUAGAGGAGGUGGUGCUGGAUGCCUUACAGAGCAUAAAGGUGGAUAAAUCCCCAGGACUUCUUCAGGUGUAUUCUCCAACUUUGCGGGAAGUUAGGCUUGCGAUUGGGCCCCUUGCUCAGAUAUUUGCACCAUUGACAGUCAUAGGUGAGCUGUUAGGCUGGAGGUUGGCUAUUCCAGUGCCAUUGUUUAAGAAAGGUGGUAACAUAAAGCCAGGGAACAAUAAACUUUUGGUGAGCCUGAUGUCAGUUAUGUGUAAGUUGUUGGAGGGAAGUCUGAGGGAUAGGAUUUACAUGUAUUUGGAAAGCGUGGACUGAAUGGGGAUAGUCAACAUGUCUUUGUCCAUAGGAAAUUAUGUCUUGAUUGAGUUUUUUUUGAAGAAGUUACAAAGAAAAUUGAUGGCAGACUGGUGGAUGUUUUCGAUAUGGAUUUCAGUAAGUAAAAUUCCGCAUGGUAGCCUGAUUAACAAGGUGAGAUCACAUGGAAUCCAGGGAGAGCUGGCCAUUUGGAAAGGCCUUUGGCCUGCAGUAUGCUGCAAGGAUUGGUACUUAGUAACUAUAACUCCUGCAUUCACAUCCAAAUCAUCUUUAUAAAUGACAGAAAUGAGUGGACCCAGCUCUGAUCCUUGCAGCACACCACUGGUCACACACCUCCAAUCUACAAAGCAACCCUCCACCAGCACUCUGUCUUCUACCUUCAAGUCAGAUCUGUUUCCAAAUGACUGGUUCUCUCUGUAUUCCAUGUGAUCUGACCUUGCUAAUCAGUCUACCAUGAGGAACCUUGUCAACUGCCUUACUGACAUCCAUAUAGAACACAUCCACUGCUUUGCCCUAAUCAAUCCUCUUUGUUCCUUCUUCAAAAAAAAUCAAGUUAGUGAGACAUGAUUUCCUACACACACAGCCAUGUUGCCUGUCCCGAAUCAGUCCUUCCCUUUCCAAAUAUUUCAAGUACUAUCCCUCAGGAUUCCCUCCAAUGACUUGCCCACCACUAAUAUCAGGCUCACUGGCCUAUAGUUUCCUGGCUUUUCCUUAGCACCUUUCUUAAAUAGUGGCAUCACAUUAGCCAACUUCUGAUCCCUCAUCUGUGGCUAUCGAUGAUACAAAUAUCUCAGCAAGGGGCCCAACAAUCUCUUGCCUAGUUUCCCUCCGAGUUCUCGGAUACACCUGAUCAGGUCCCAGGAAUUUAUCCACUUUUAUGCGUUUUAAGCCGUUCAGCAUCACUACCUCUGAAAUAUGGCUAAUUUUCAAGAUGUUGCUCUUUAUUUCCCCACUGUCUAUAUCUUCCAUAUCCUUUUCUGUAGUAAAUACUGAUGCAUAAUACUUGUUUUAUUAUAUUCCCCAUUUCUUGCAAUUCCACACAAAGGCGGCAUUGCUGCUUUUUAAGGGGCCCUAUUCUCUCCCUAGUUAUCCUUUUGUUCUUAAUCUAUUUGUAGAAUCCCUCUGGAUUUUCCUUAAUACUAUUUGCCGAAGCUACCUCAUGUCCCCUUUUUGCCCUCCUAAUUUCCCUCUUAAGUAUACCAUUGUCAUUAUACUCUUAUAAGGAUUCACUCAAUCUCUGCUGUCUAUACCUGGCAUGCCCUUCCUUCCUUUUUCUUGACCAAAACCUUGAUUUCUCUAGUCAUCCAGAAUUCCCUACACCGACCAGCAUUGUCCGUCACCCGAACAGGAACAUACUGUCCCUGAACACUCAUUAUCUUUUUUUUUGAAGGCUUCCCACUUCUGAACCUUUCCGUUUUACCUGCAAAUAUCUGCCCCAAUCAACUUUUGAAAGCUCUUGCGUACUACCAUUAAAAUUGGCCUUCCUCCAAUAUAGAACUUUAACUUUCAGACCCGGUCUACUCUUUUCCAUCACUAUUUUAAAACUAAUAGUAUUAUGGUCACUGGCCCCAAAGUCCUCCCCCACUGAUACCCUAGUCACCUGUCCUGCUUUAUUUGCCAAGAGCAGGUCAAGUUUUGCUCUUUCUCGAGUCGAUACAUCGCAUACUGAAUCAGAACAUUUUCCUGUACACUCUCAGCAAAUUCCUCUCCAUUCAAGCCUUUUACACUAUGGAAUUCCCAAUCUGUUUGGAAAACUAAAAUCCAUUCCAUAACCACCCUGUUAUUCUUACAGAUAACUGAGAUCUUCUUUCAAAAUUGUUUGUCAGAUUCCUGCUGACUAUUGGGAGGCAUAUAGUAUAAUCCCAAUAAAGUGAUCGUCCCUUUUCUUAUUUCUAAGUUCCACCCAAAUAACUUCCCUGGAUGUGUUCUCAGCUAUAUCCUGCCUAAGUAAAGCCAUAAUGUUAUCCUUGCUCAAAAAUGCCGCUUUUCACUCCUGUCUUGCUUUGCUUCCCCUCCCGCUUUGACUUUCUAUCGGAUCUAUAUCUUGGAACAUUAAUCUCAGCCCUGUCCAUCCUUGAGCCUUGUCUCUGUAAUUGCAAUGAUAACCCAGUUCCAUGUUUCCAACCUUGCCCUGAGUUCAUCUGCCUUAGCUGUUAGGCCUCUGGCAUUGAAAUAAAUGGUGUUUAAUUUAUUCGUCCUUUUGCAUUAAUCUCAAUAACAAAUACGUAACGGUAGGGUAGGUUUUGAAAAUGAUGACGUUUUAUUGCUGUAUAUCAACACAUUCACAGUGGGUAAAGACAAUCCACCUGCACACUGUGAAAAAGGAUUUCCUAGUUCAUUAGGACUGGUUUUCAUAGAAUUCAGAGUAUUCCGACAGUAUGGAAACAGGCUGUUUGGCCCAAGAAUUCACAGAAAACCUCAGAGCAUGCCACUCAGACACAUGUCCUGGUAACCCACCUAAUCUACACAUCCCUGAACACUCUGGGCAAUUUAGCUUGGCGAAUCCACCUAACCAACACAUGGGAGGAAACCAGAACACCCAGAGGAAACCCACGCAGCCACAGGGAGAACAUGCCAACAGCCACACACUCAGUUGCCCAAGGGUGGAAUCAAGUCUGGGUCCCUGGCAUUGUGAGGCAGCAGUGCUAACCGCUGAGCCACUGUGGAUAACCACCAAUGAGUUCCCAAGAAUCUGUAGGAAUUUUUUUUGUUGCUCCUAUUAUCUGUGUCCACGUCAUGUUAUCUGGGCAUGUUUCUCAUGAUGUUUGAAAACACCACGUGUUUGGUUACCUAGUUGGGAGACAAAAAACGAUAUAAGUUAACCUUUUAUUAAAACUACUGUGCAUUGAGUCUUCAUCUCAAAAGCAGACUAGUUUAUUUUGAAAGGCUGUCCAUCUGCCCUAACUCCUCCAUCCUCACCUCCAAGUGUGAGUAACCUAGGUUUUUACUUUUCACUCAAUGACAGUCAGUACAGUUCAUAUGAGCAAUUGGGAACAGGGUCAUCCCAUAAUGCUUGAAACUUAGUGUACUAAUGGUACACUAUUACAAUAAUAACCAUUACACUUCUUUUCUGAAUCUUUUCAAGUUUUACAACACCCUUCCUUUAGCAGGAAGACUAGAAUUACACACAGCAGUUACACCUCAACUGGAAUGGGACCUGCAUCCUUGUGGGAGGUGGGGGUGGGUUUCCAGUACUGUUGAGGGCCUUGUAAAUAACUUAGCAGUGGGCUGAAAUCCAGAGAGAAUGUUCAAAAUAAUAACAAGGGCCAAAAAGAGAAGAAACGAGAGUCUGGAAGGCAUUGUCACAGGCCAGGUUAAGGUAUAAGGGAGUUUAAGGGUGAAUGGUAUUUAAUGCUUGGAGUCAGGUGAAUAAGGCGGAUGAUUUGAGGAUACAAAUUAAUGGGGUCAUAAAGACAUUGCUGUCACUUGGACACGGUUAGCAGCUCAGUAUUCCAGGAUAUAGGGCCUUCAUGCAAGGCAGUGGAGUUGGUAAAGGAGGAGGAGAUAUUGUUAUUUUGUUUAGGAAAUCUAUUACAGCAAUAAGGAGGGGCGGCGUCUUUGAAAACUCCACAAAUAAAUAAGGAGGCAAAUUUUGAGAAAGUGUAAAAAUAGCAGGAUUGAGGUAGCAGGAGCUUUCAACUUCCUCAACAUUAAUGUAGGCAUCGUCGUGUGAAGGAUUUAUCAGAAUUUUAAAAAUACAUCCAGGGCAGCAUUUUUUUCAGCCACUAAGUAGAAGAUGCAACAAGGAAGGGGAAGGUCCUGGACUUGACUUUCGGUUACAAAGUUGAGCAAGUGGUUGAAGUUUCAGUGGGAUGGCAUUUUGCAGGCAGUUAUUAUAACUUUUCGAUUCAGGAUUUGUAUGGAAAAGGGCAAGGAUGGGUCUGAAGUCCCAAACUGCUGAAGUUAUGAAGAAAGUAAAUGGAAUUUUGGCCUUAAUUGCGAGGUGUUGGUGUUUGAGGAUAAGGACAUCUUGUAACAACUGUAUUGGAUGUUGGUGAAGCCAUACUGGUAUAUUAUUUACAGUUUUGGUGCUUGUAUUUAAGAAAGGAUAUACUGGUGUUGAAUGCAGUACAAAGAGAUUCGCUAAGCUGAUUCAUGGGAUGAAAGGGUUAGCCUGUCAAGAAUAGCUGGAGGAAGGGAAUUUGCAGAGGGGAAAUACCAAGUAAUUAAACAGGUCGUGCUCAAAGUUGGGCUCAUAUUCACAACCCUGCACUUAAACAGCGUAUGUUCGAACAACUGAGCUAACUUGGCCUCCCACAGUCAGUGUUCAAAUCUUGCUUUAUAAGGCGACGAAUGGGUUUUUUCACUGACGCCACUGCAGUCCAAGGAAGUAAAAGGUAUUUGCUUUAGAAAAUCCCAAGGUUCCAAUGUAUUCUUCUCAUUCACAUUGCAACCCAUUUUCGGUACUUGCUCCAGGAUUUAACAUUCAAAAUUAAUUUAGUGAUGUUGUUUCCCUCAUCUUUAAGCAGCCUGUAUGACUCCAGUCACUCGGUUAAAUGGUGAAUAAAUCUGUCUCAAUAAACCAAUUCUUUUCAGCUACA